UUUCCGUAGGUGAACCUGCGGAAGGAUCAUUAACGUAUCAUGGAGGAACGAGGGCUGCCGCUCACCAGACUGGUUGUGCACGCCAGAGUGCUGCGACACACAUCUAUUUCACCCCUAUGUGCAUCAUCGCGUGGGUCCCACUUCGGCGCGUUCGGCGGGGGGCUUACGUUUUCACACAUUCUUUGUAUGCAGUGUAGGAUGUAUUUUUUGUUUUGGCGAUCACGCAAUCAUUACAACUUUCAAUAACGGAUCUCUUUGCUAUUGCAUCGACGACGAACG
rnacentral:misc_RNA from 1 species